GAGGAAACAAAUCACAUGGAAAGAAAGCCCUUGCUUUUAGCUAUCCAUUAGUCCAAGGUACACCAAAAUUAAGUAAUGUGUCGCAGACUUACAAGACUUUUAACAGAACCAGAUCAAGAACAUGACAAGCAGCCUAAGGUGGUGGUCUGGCAGCAACUUUGGCUGGUGCCAGAUGGAGAUAAUAUUUGGCAUACAUUUCAGGCGGUCAAUUUCAUUCGGAAUUGCAUGCCUGCAUGUCCUCUUCUCUAGCAUGACUGUGCAAUUUUGGGAGAAUGGGAAGUGCAUGCUCUUCAGAAGACGUCAUUGUUACUUCUCUCUGGAAGAAGGCUUUGGAAUUGCUCCUGUGGUGAGGAUCUACCCUGGGUGCAACUCUUUUGUGGCUAACCUCCUUGGCGAGUACAAAUCCAAAGGAAACAAACGAAACAGUCACUCUCUGUAUGGUUUCCCCAAGUAGCUAUCACCCUUUUGGGGUUGUAUUAAGCACUAUUUUGUCGUUCUGCCUUCUUAGAGAAGUGGAUAAUGUUGUGACAGAGAUGCUAGAUGUGUACUUUCACUAUCUGUAGAUAUGUACUCCUGCAGGUCUGUCUGGCUAUUGAUAGCUGAAGUCUUUUCUUCAGCUUUUCAAGGGGCCCCACAUACUUGACACAGACCAGAAUAUGCUGCUGACAAUGGUCACCUUCAUUUACAAUAGCUACUGCAGCCAUAUCUGUAGAGCAACUCUUUCUCUUCGAAAUAGAACCUUCCACACACCACAGAACACACAGAACAUAUCGUGGAAGUCAUGGUGGAGCUAACAAGAAAGCUACUAUGGUGCCACUAUCUUUGUGGUGAUGAUAAUGCAAGCGCAAAAAAUAGCGAGUAUGCUGCGCAAGUAGUAUCAUUACGUAGGUAAUUUGAUGCAGCUGUAAUGUUUUCUAAGACACUCUUCCCAUAGAAAUACCCAUAACCAUGGUUAGAAGUUUACUUGAUUUAUUUGUGUGAAACCACACCCAUUUUUUCAAUAUUUCAUUGCAAUUCAGUUUAACGCAAUUCAGUUUAACACUAAGAAACAGCGGUGAGCCAGGUGCAUCAGGACUUAUCACAGGUGAUCGGCCGAUUCUUUAGCUUUCCUCAGCUAGAUUUAAACUAACAAAUGUAUAUUCUUUUAGCCUAAAGUAGUAAAAAGACUCCGCAUUUGUGGAAACAAUACUACACUGGAAACAAUACUACACUGCCUACUCCUGAUCCUACUCCUGAUCCUACUCUAAGAGAGCUAGCCAACGUCACAUGACCUCAGCUCCACCCCCUUUGCAGCUCCACCCCCUUUGCAUAUAUUGCAUAUACUGAGCUCCACCCUCUCAGCAAAGUAAGCGGGCAUGCAGCCAUAUCCAUGCACAAGUUACAGGUGGAGCUAGCUACAUUUAUCCUACAACAGAAUGACAUACAAGAUAAUUAUAGGUAGAAAGGUACAUACAUGUAAUUAAUUAAGAGCAUAAUAAUAGUAAUUAUUAUCAUUGUAUUAUAGUCUUGGCAUGGUAGGAAAUGUUUCUCCAAGUUGUGUCCCUGCAUCCCUAGUCCCUGCAUCCCUAUAGAAGAAAGCACAAAAAUAAGCAUACAGUAAUAGCUUUGCUCUUAAUAUUCUUCUAACAAGAGCUCUAGAGCACUUGAUAAUCAAAAAUUGUUUAUAUUAGGCCAAGCAAAGUCAAUUUGUAGUUUCUCAGGCUAUUUAUACUGUUGCUGUAUUUAUACUGUUGCUGGAAUUAUUUUCUGGCGCUUAUAAAAAUGCUGACAUUAAGACAAUUAUCCUGCAUCUUGCAUCUUUGACUUAUUUCACAGUUGUUUGACCCAUAGCUACAGUCAUAGCUACAGUCAAUUAACGAACGCUGUUCACGAGCCAGCUCUCAACAGUGCAGCUAGCUAGCAGUGAAACCGAGCAUGUAGCUGUAGAACAUAAGUGCUCAACGCAAUUUUGUGUGUUCUAAAAGAUGUGCCACUCAGAAGUGGAAUUAAUUUUUUCUGCAGCAUGUACGGUAUUGUACAGCAUAAUUAUAAUACUGACGCUUUUCAAGAAUGCUAGAAUGCUAGAAUGCUAUCAUAAGCACACUCCUGUAGGUAUAUCUGUCUGAGCCCCUAUUUGGGAUUAGGUUUAACAGCCCUGUAGAUUCAAUUGUAAUGGGUUUGUUGCUGGGUAUGCCAGACUGUCUUUAUUUCAACUGUGGAUUUGCACGGUGUGCAGUCGAAGAAUUGAAUGGACAUGACCCUUGAAUGGACAUGACCCGGAGAAAUGAAAAACAGACUUUAAACUAUUAUUCUUCCGCUGCCCUGCGCUGCCCUGACUAUGUAUGGACUAAAUGAAACAUACUUCCAAUCAAGCGAAGGAAACUUUAAGAGGCAUCACAAAUUCAUUACUGCAUUACUGCGAGAUAGAACAAAAAAUGGAGCUCGAGAACAGAGUACCUUGCUCAGAGUACGUUGUCUACCGCACACCCUGCAACGAGUGCAGCAUCAAAUUCAAAUAUAUCAUUGAUUUUAGUCAAUGAGCAAUGAGACAGUACUAAAGAGGUACACGAGGAGAAGCAUUUGCAGACAACUUUGACACCCAAUCGUUAAUCAAGCAUGGCAUAAAAUUCCACUUUUAAGAACACUGUCUGGCAAUUAUUUAUUACUAGGCACUAAGGCACUUAGAAUACUACACAUUUUCUCAAGUUGAUAUAAUGAUAAUUAUUGCUAGUGGGCAAAACUGAAUAUGUAAAUACAUAAAUUAUUAUGUGUAGCCAAACAAACUUUCAAUUAUACAUCACAUAAUUGACAGGUAAAACCAACAAAGAACGAAGAGAAACAGAAGUUGCAUAAAAUUUAUAGGGACAAAGAAAACUAAAAGUCCCAAAAGCAAUGCUACAAGAAGAUGAAUCGAUAAAAAGUUAUCAACGAAAACGUAUGCUAGAGCACUUUGAUACACCACCUGCCAAAGUACAAUGCACAGAGAAAUCACACUCACCAAAUUUGCAAACGUUACGUGUGACAAGGAGGACGAGACCUUGAACAACCGCUAUAAACUGGCGUAAGUUUGCCAGAGAACAUGGUGGGCAGGUUGCAAAAGACUUGCAACAUAAACACACUACGCUUGGAUGGUACAAAACACAGCAUUAAAGACUCCUGGCAAACGAUGGUUGAAACAGGGGAUUGGAGAAGAAAGAGACAGUAGUGACAGGUUUCCUGGCCACGUAUGUACAGUGAACAAAAAGCAGUGACAUUGACAGCAAGGAUGUUUGUAAUUUGUUAUAGGCUUUGAUGUAAAUAGUUGGCCGGAACUGCUAAGUUAUGGUAGACAUUGAUUAACUGGUGUAGGUACAUUAAUUGUUACGGGAUUGAGAUGCAUGGUCGCAUAUGUACAGUGAACAGAAGAACAGUAGCAGCGAGGUUGAACGGUACAAGAAUCAAGCGCACAGAGAGGAGCUACACCUCAAAGAAAAUAGCACUUACAAGAACACAGGUUAAGGUGGAUGUGUUGACGUUGAACUUACUGAGGAUGACAUUCCUGGUGCUUCACCGUUAGAACAACACAACAACCAAGCACUGAGGUACUGACAGAAAAAAGCGGAACUUGUUGAAAGGUAAAUAGCAGAUAUAGGACGAAUCUGUGUGUUUAGUGUAACUGUGUGUUUAGUGUAACUACUCUCGGGAGCUGUAGUUAUUGACGUUGACGGCUACCUUGCUGAAGGUGUUUCAGUAGCUCCACUGGACCUCCCUUCCUCUACCACUUCAAGGUUGGCAGGGUGUUGAUGAAGGCAACUACAAAGAGAUAGCUGCGAAAAUACCAUGUGUUUCCUCAGCUGAAGUUCGCUGUAAAAUUUAAUUAAAAAUAAUCUCACCUUGCAAACAUCUAUCCACCAAUGACAACAAGAGCGUCUCCACUGAGACCACUGAGACCAGAAUGCCUCAACUCGCUACAUAAAUACAAUAAUGAUUAUAAUUUUAUAUGACAUUGAGUACAACUCACUAUGUUAGCUGUUGAAGGACCAUAAAUGAAACUUUUGAUUGGUCGUCAUCAUGAUUCAUAUGAAAGGCAAUUUGGAUUUGGGCAACACUACAGUUUUCAGUUCCACAGUCUCCUCUUACUACCAUAGGGCAUCCUACAAAGCCAGCAACAAUUAUGCCCUAACGUAGCAAUGCUACAUAUAAUGUAUACAUACCCUUCAGUCUUUCCACAGCUUCAAGGUAAUACCUGGCAAUGACUUUGGGGUUGUUGUUCGUUGGACCAACCUUAAACCAUAUUAGCUUCCUUGAGUAACUAAUCAAGACUUCCAUUUAAAAACAUACUAAAAAUUAGUAAAAUCUUACCCAUCAACACAGGCAUGGAUGCAGAGUCCAUACGGCUUUAAUUUAUCGUUUAAUUUAUCGUAUCCAUCUAUAUGCCAUAUAUAGUUCGGUCCCUACAGAUAGAAUGUGUAACAUAAUCAUAAUUUAAUUAUACAGUGUAGACAAACUUUGCUGUAGUACACUCUUCUUCAGAGUUGUCGCUUCCUUCUCAGUAACACUCCUUCAGGAUCAAUUGAUCUCAUCAACUACGUCUCUAGUAGAUAUUCACUACAGUCUUAACACAGUAUAAAGCACCACAGUAUAAAGCACUAAAGCACUAACCUUCCAACACAUAUCUCAUACUUUCUGGUUAGCAAACGACGGAGCUUGUAUGGGGUUUGCAUUAACACCUACAAUAAUAGUAUGUUCACUAUAGUCGUAGCUAGCAUAGUUGUAACUAAGCGUCAUAUCAGAUAUUAUAGGCAUUGGCUUCUGUCCACGGGGGUUACAUCACGGGGGUGGGAAUGGGUCCCUGUGCGUGGCGUGAGGGCCCUCAUUCAGGUAAUUAACAUCAGAUGGAACAGUAGUUUGUCCACGUGAAUGGGAGGCUAAACAAUCAGUCUGCCCAUCUAGAUAUUGGCUUAGCUACUAAAUCACAUGCACAUCCUCUACAAUACAUACAUUCACCUCUAUCUUUCAUCUGGGGCAUCACCAAGUCUUUUCUUCAACCCCAUUUUUCGAAACUUUCUCUUUAACCAGCUUAGACUAUACAAGCAAGCAAACAAUUAUUCCUGUGUACGUGUGGUGAGGUGAAGUGAAUAAAACAAACCUUCCAUCUACUGUCCAUAGCCGUGCCAAAAUACAUUUAUAGGACCUUCCAAACCAAAAAUAUUCCCUCAGCUUAUCUAUAAUUAUAAGCAACUAUAAGCAACUAGUUUAACAGAGAUAGGGAGGAUCUAGGAAGCGAGAACACCACAGGUGAACUCUCACCUCACUACCUCUAUUAAUGCUUAGUUUUAUGAGGGUUCUAGGGGGAAUAGUAAGAGCCAUACUUGCUGAGCAUCUGAACACAACUCAUGAUAAACCAAGGUGCGCUUUAAUUAUAAACAUUGACCUUUUGACCUCUUGCGAUGUCGCCAUUUUAGGGCGGUAAGGGUUAUACCGCGAGCGGUAUUUUCAGGCGGGUAGGUUUUACCGCUGGCGGCUAAAUGAGGCGGCGACCCUGGCGGCGGCAUUUCUUCGUUUACCGCUCGCGGCAAAAUGAGGCGGUGACCCUUUACCGAGUGUUAGCCGCGGGCGGUAUUAGUUGGCGGAGGCGGGUGACCCCUAUCGGCCACCGUACGUUCAGGCAACACGCUCAGGCAAUGCAGACGUGCUCAGGAACCGCGCUCAGAAGACGCGCUCAGUAAACGUGCUGAGGCAACACACGUUCAGAAGACGCGCUCAAACAAUACACGGUUAGAUAACGCGCUCAGGGAACACACGCUUUAUUUAGAGCAAAAGGUUAAAGUGCAAAGGACUUGACUUUAUUUAGAGUAAAAGGUUCAAAGUGCAAGGGUCAAAUCAGAGGUCAAAUUUACAGCUGGUACCUACCUCAGAGGUCUCUUAGUUCUCUACAGAGCAAUCCAUCAUCAUCCAGUAGGGCAGACAAUCAACCUUCUACUUCAAGGUCUGGGCUAGGUAUUGAUGAUGACGUCAUAGGAGACCUAGGCUUCAAUAGCUCUCAAAACUCUAAAGAAUGUGAAGGAAGAGAUAGGCCAAGAGCAAAAAUUCAAUUUUGCACCUUACAACGCUGGCAAGAAGCGUAAAUUAUUUUCUGUGGGCUCUGGCAAAAAGAAGCAAAAAGCAAGCACAUGCUGGACACAUGCAUUCUAUUGUCUUGCUAGAAGUGACCAGUCCAAAACUAUGUGGGAGCGUGAAGCGCUUUUGGAUGGUGGAUUAGGGGAGCAGAAAAUCACUUUUACUGACAUGGAAUGCAGCGCCGAUGAGAUACUGGUUGACCAUUUCCCCAAGCUCUCUGAGGGUGGAGCUAAUGCGAUGCUGCUAGAGUGUAUCUCUUCAAAUGCUCUGACAUACGUCCGAUUCAGAGGAAUUUGGAUACGACACCACUUGAGGAUAAGUCUAAUUCCCAAACAUAUAUGGUUGAGAAAUGCAUCACUUGUGGGGAAUGUAUGCAGUUAAAGAAUCUCAGGGAACAUGUAGCCAAAUGCCAAAACUCCCAUACUCCACCACACUAAUAGCUGGUGAUGCACCUGGUCAUCCCUGUCAAGUGCCUUCUGACAGUGACAGUGAAACAGUUUAACAGGGAAUUUCCGUCAUUCUUACCGAGAGUCCAAGCGCAAGAAGGGGAUAAAGCAGGAAGUGAAGAGACAUCAAGUCAUCCCUAUAGGGAGAAAAGAGAGCACCGUGAUUAUUCUCAAGGCUCUCUUCAAGUUCAAUGCAGAGCUUACUGCCGAAGAAGUGGAGAAGCUUGCUCCUCCUUGCUCCUUUUGUUUGAGCCUUGGGGACUGAACAGAGGCACUGGAUUUGGAAGGUGAAUAUUAUAGUUGCAAAAUAACUUGUUAUAGAUGGGAAUGGAAAAGUAACUGUGGUGAACAACAGUGAACCGGAAAAUCUUCCUCCAGAUGUGUUGAUUUUCACCACAGGAGCUGCUGGUGUCCUCCACUAGGGUUUGAGGAAGAGCUGUCUUCAAUGCUGAAGAUGAGGCUAAAUCAGAUUUACCUACAUCUAGCACGUGCACAAACACAUUGUUCAUUCCAACAACCAACCACAAUGACUGUGAAAAAUUUAAAUACAAAUUUGCUCAGGGUAUUACCUGUGCAGUAAGUUUCGGCCAAGUCUAAAUUUUUUUUUUUUCCAUUUUUCUUAUAUAUACCCAUGCUAUCUAUAUAUAUAUAUACUCUGCCAUCUUAUUCUCAUUGUUACCGCAUGCUGAGUUGCUCAAAC